rnacentral:rRNA from 1 species
UACGGAGGGUGCGAGCGUUGUCCGGAAUCAUUGGGCGUAAAGGGCGCGUAGGUGGCCCGGUCAGUUCGUGGUGAAAGCGCGGGGCUCAACCCUGCGUCGGCCAUGAAUACUGCCGCGGCUGGAGCACUGUAGAGGCAGGCGGAAUUCCAGGUGUAGCGGUGAAAUGCGUAGAUAUCUGGAGGAACACCGGUGGCGAAGGCGGGCAUCCUGGACCAACACGUGACACUGAGGAGCGAAAGCCAGGGAGCAAACGGGG